GCGUCGAUCGUAUAAUGGUUAUUAUUCCUGCCUUCCACUUCGUGAAACGGAAUAACAGCGUGUCCACUCGGUUCAGCAGGAGACAGGGGUUCGAUUCCCCUUCGACGCA